GUCCUUUUGAAUUUUUAUUUAAGGUCUAGUCUGCCCACUGAAUUUAUAUUUUAAAUGGCCGCAGUAUUUUGACUGUGCAAAGGUAGCAUAAUCAUUAGUUUUUUAAUUAAAAGCUUGUAUGAAAGGCUGGACGAGGUAAAAUCUGUCUCUAUUUAAAUUAUAAUAGAAUUUAACUUUUAAGUUAAAAGGCUUAAAUGUUAUUAAAAGACGAGAAGACCCUAUAGAUCUUUAUAAUUUAUUAAAUAAAAUUUAUUUAGAAUUAUUUAUGUUUUAUUUAAUUAAAUUAUUUUAUUGGGGUAAUAGAAAGAUUGAAUUAAUUCUUUUUUAUAAUAAACAUUAAUUUAUGAAUAUUAAAUGAUCCAGUUUUACUGAUUAUAAGAUUAAGUUACCUUAGGGAUAACAGCGUAAUUUUUUUAGAGAGUUCAUAUCGAUAAAAAAGUUUGCGACCUCGAUGUUGGAUUAAAGAUUAUUUUAGGUGUAGAAGCUUAAUAAUUUUGGUCUGUUCGACCAUUAAAUCUUUAC
rnacentral:rRNA from 1 species